rnacentral:rRNA from 1 species
UACGUAGGGUGCAAGCGUUAAUCGGAAUUACUGGGCGUAAAGCGUGCGCAGGCGGUUCGGAAAGAAAGAUGUGAAAUCCCAGGGCUUAACCUUGGAACUGCAUUUUUAACUACCGAGCUAGAGUGUGUCAGAGGGGGGUGGAAUUCCGCGUGUAGCAGUGAAAUGCGUAGAGAUGCGGAGGAACACCGAUGGCGAAGGCAGCCCCCUGGGAUAACACUGACGCUCAUGCACGAAAGCGUGGGGAGCAAACAGG